rnacentral:lncRNA from 1 species
GUAUGGUCGAGCGGAACCACUGCAAUUAGCAGCGAUUAUGCGUGCUUGCAGAGUCUUACUACCUUCUGCAUCAAAGAAAAAGUAUAAAUUGCUUUGGAAUUUAGUACAAUUUAGGCCCAGAUAAAGUGUAAUAAACUAAGCCACAAGCACGAAGAUGGGACAAAUGCAUGUACUAACCACCAUUCCCAUGGUGGCUGAACGAUUGCAGCGCCCGAGUUCCUUCUAGUAAUUAUUAUAGGAAACUAUACGCCUUUUCGAUUG